GCUCUUGCUGGGACCAAGGGAGUUGCUGUCUGUUGUUUCAGUGGCCAAGUGGAGGAGUCAAAGCUGGGGCAGAUGACAGGAGUGAUCUGACCCUGCCACACCUGGGUUUGCCCUUUCCCUGACGGACAGGACGUGGGCAGGAGCGGCCUGGCAGUGUGAGGGGAGCAGCGACUGCAUUCAGACACAUCAUCUCAGCUCUCUGCUCCAUUUCCCGAUUUCCCAACUGCACCAUGCACUGCACUCAGCACUGCCUGAGUUUGGUCUUCAGCUGCAUCCUUCACUCAGGAUUCCUUCCUUGUCUGUGGCAGAGACACCAGCUGAGGACAAUGAUUCCCAUCAGCAGUUAGGAACAUCAGGGAUCAGACAAAUUCCUCUCCAAGUUACUGCUGUGCAUGAAUAGCCCAGACUGAAACACCAGACACUUCCAAGUGUCCAGGAAGAGUCUCUCUCACUCUGUGCAAGUUGUUGGAGGACUUGGAGAUGAUGGACUUGGGACCAUACCAGACACGGUUUCUUCCACAUAGUGAAUUC